CAAUUGGAAAAAUUUGAAAUUAAUAUAAAUUAUAUGGUAGGAUAUGAGGAAUAUUUGACGAAAAAAUUAUGAUUGCCCUCCGAAGACAAGAUAUUUUUUUAUUUUUUAAACUGUUUUUCGUUAGUUUCCACAUUUUCUGUAAAGUGAGAAUCACGAAAAAAUUAUCAUUUAUAGAUUCUAUGUACUCUCUACCAGGGGUCGGCAACCUUUUCUGGACGGCUGGGCCAUUUUCAAAAAAAAAAUUUUUAACCGGCCGCACAGUCAGAUGUUUUGUAAUGUAGUAUGUAGCUUAAAUAAAAUCCAGUAUAUUUACAUAUUCUAUUGAAUUAAAUCUGUUACCAAUUUGUACUCUUUCAUCCGGACCAUCUCCAGAAAUCCAACCCCAAAUGUUUACACUUUUCUGAUCAGAAGAAGCUAUAUGAGUCACAUUUUUAGAUAAAUAUCGUGUUCUGGGUUGUCUGUAACAGUGAAGCUGCCCAUGUGAAUUUGAUGCAAAAGUUUUCUUAUCGGAAAAUAUAACAGUAUUCCAAAAUUCUGAGGAUAGGGUAAAUAUUACACUGCGAAUUCUAGUCUCACUUCUUUGUGAACAUUUGUCAACUGAUCAUUUAUUGCUGGUCGAUGGUGAUAGUAGCUGA
rnacentral:lncRNA from 1 species